CCUACGGGAGGCAGCAGUGGGGAAUAUUGGGCAAUGGGCGAAAGCCUGACCCAGCAACGCCGCGUGAGUGAAGAAGUAUCUCGGUAUGUAAAGCUCUAUCAGCAGGGAAGAAAAUGACGGUACCUGAAUAAGAAGCCCCGGCUAACUACGUGCCAGCAGCCGCGGUAAUACGUAGGGGGCAAGCGUUAUCCGGAUUUACUGGGUGUAAAGGGAGCGUAGACGGCGCUGCAAGUCCGGAGUGAAAGCCCAGGGCUUAACCAUGGUACUGCUCUGGAAACUGUGGAGCUUGAGUGCGGGAGGGGCAGGCGGAAUGCCUAGUGUAGCGGUGAAAUGCGUAGAUAUUAGGAGGAACACCGGCGGCGAAGGCGGCCUGCUGGACCGUAACUGACGUUGAGGCUCGAAAGCGUGGGGAGCAAACAGGAUUAGAUACCCUAGUAGUC
rnacentral:rRNA from 1 species